UGGACGUUUUAUUAAGGUGAGACAAACGUGGAAUAUGGGAUUUAAAUAGUAAAUACACCAGAAAAGAAACCAACAAUCCUAAAUUCAAAUAUAGGAUGGCACAGGUGACUGCUGUAGUAACAUCACUGGGAGAUUUUAUUUGGAAUCAGGUGUCAAUCCUGCCUCAUUCCCAACACUAACGUUAUGCCAACAUAUUAGAACAUAAUAAAUGUUAUGGACCUGACUGAUUUUCAUAAGAAAAGGGUGUUUUUUUUAAAGCCAGAAAUGGAACAUAUAGACAUUUCUGCAAUAACACCACAUUACAUCUAUAUUUAACAGUAAUAACAGCUCCUUCCUUCAAGACCACUAAAGGAAGACUACAGAGGCAUAAAUAUAGUCCUGGAAAAUGUUCCCUUAAGUACCCUCAUGCAGAACAUUCCCUUUAGAAGUGCUGCUUAGAAAUGUAAAGUUCCAAAUGCUCCAAAAAGAAAAAAUAAAAACCCUCACCAGGGUAUUUCCAAGAAGGCUGUGGAUAAAAGGAGCUGGUUGGACAAACCCCCUGCACUGAGGGGCUGGAAUCUAAACAGGGAAUUGGAAUCCGUCAUCUUGGAGGCUUUUCCCAACCUUAAUGACUGUGUGAUUUCAGAUUUUCUGCAGGAUGAAGGUUUCUGGAAUGGGCUGGCACUGUUCUGCAGGGAUCUGGUUCCACUUUCCCAAGAAUUCCAAAGGGAUGGAAUUCCAAAGGGCCUGGUUCUGCAGCUCCAACUUCACCUCCACCACAGGAUUCUCACCACUGAAUCAGGAAAUGCUCAUGGAAGUGAGAUGGUUUUCCCAAAAAUCCAGCACAGUUCCAUGUGGAUUCCCACAAAGUAAAGCCCUCAGUAACCUCUGCAUGUUGCUACAGGCACAAACUGCCCAGGAUGCUCUUCCAGGAUUUCCACUGCAUGGAUUUUUUUUCUUUCCAAGGGAAGCAGGUCAGAAAUGUGCAUGUGACACAGACCUACUUUGUGUCAGCUUGAUGGCAGCACUAAGAUUUUG
rnacentral:lncRNA from 1 species